UACGAAGGGUGCAAGCGUUACUCGGAAUUACUGGGCGUAAAGCGUGCGUAGGCGGUUCGUUAAGUCUGAUGUGAAAGCCCUGGGCUCAACCUGGGAAUGGCAUUGGAUACUGGCGACCUAGAGUGCGGUAGAGGGGUGUGGAAUUCCCGGUGUAGCAGUGAAAUGCGUAGAUAUCGGGAGGAACAUCUGUGGCGAAGGCGACACUCUGGACCAGCACUGACACUGAGGCACGAAAGCGUGGGGAGCAAACAGG
rnacentral:rRNA from 1 species